AUUGAACGCUGGCGGCAGGCUUAACACAUGCAAGUCGAACGGUAACAGGAAGAAAGCUUGCUUUCUUUGCUGACGAGUGGCGGACGGGUGAGUAAUGCUUGGGAAUCUGGCUUAUGGAGGGGGAUAACUACGGGAAACUGUAGCUAAUACCGCGUAGUAUCGGAAGAUGAAAGUGUGGGACCGCAAGGCCACAUGCCAUGAGAUGAGCCCAAGUGGGAUUAGGUAGUUGGUUAGGUAAAGGCUGACCAAGCCGACGAUCUCUAGCUGGUCUGAGAGGAUGACCAGCCACACUGGAACUGAGACACGGUCCAGACUCCUACGGGAGGCAGCAGUGGGGAAUAUUGCACAAUGGGGGAAACCCUGAUGCAGCCAUGCCGCGUGAAUGAAGAAGGCCUUCGGGUUGUAAAGUUCUUUCGGUGAUGAGGAAGGUGUUUGUUUUAAUAGGACAAGCAAUUGACGUUAGUCACAGAAGAAGCACCGGCUAACUCCGUGCCAGCAGCCGCGGUAAUACGGAGGGUGCGAGCGUUAAUCGGAAUAACUGGGCGUAAAGGGCACGCAGGCGGUGACUUAAGUGAGAUGUGAAAGCCCCGGGCUUAACCUGGGAAUUGCAUUUCAUACUGGGUCGCUAGAGUACUUUAGGGAGGGG
rnacentral:rRNA from 1 species